GGCUACUCUGGUAGUGAAGGCUCUUGGUAGUGAAUGGAGCCUUUGUAUACCACUGCCUUGCACAUGGUACUUAUCUUUCUGGUGCUCACAUAGGUACCUGCUGAUUAUGGUCUUUGGGUGUUAUCUGGCACAGCAAGUUGUGAUGGAGAAAGUAUUAGCAGUGAGUUUGUGUCUCUUCCCUGAGAACAGCAUUGUUGGAGGCCUAACUCCUUUGAUCUCAUGAGCACCUCCCAGUGGAGCACUCAGCACCAGCACUCAGUGCCUGCAGACUGCGGGCACAAAGUUACCUAAGGUUAUGAUAGACAGCUCUUAUUGGUUAGCAAUAAGCAAAGGGUUGGCUCACCUUGCAGUAUAGCUGUCAAAACUGGGGCAGGUUUUGUCUGUGAGUCCUGUCAAUAGGGUGACCCAGUGGUUACAAAGGAGGGAAUGUUCCGGUGUGUCUAGUGCAGCACUUGGCUUCCAGUGGUAAGUGGAUAGGUGAUGGCCACUGCUAUAAUGUGAUGUGUGUGGGGAUGGCGGUGAGCAUGAAACACUGCAGUAAGGGCAUGGAGCACUGUAGUAAGGGCAUGGAGCACUGCAGUAGGAGCAUGGAGCACUACAGUAGGAACAUGGAGCACUGCAGUAAGGGCAUGGAGCACUGCAGAAGGAGCAUGGAGCACUGCAGUAGGAGCAUGGAGCACUGUAGUAAGGGCAUGGAGCACUGCAGUAGGAACAUGGAGCACUGCAGUAAGGGCAUGGAGCACUGCAGUAAGGGCAUGGAGCACUGCAGUAAGGGCAUGGAGCACUGUAGUAAGGGCAUGGAGCACUGCAGUAGGAACAUGGAGCACUGCAGUAAGGGCAUGGAGCACUGCAGUAGGAG
rnacentral:lncRNA from 1 species